GGAUGCAGCUUUAUAGUCCUUAUUGACAAUCCAUUUUCUCACUAAGCCCCUGACCCAGCUCAUUUGUGUAGGUGUAAUGUGUUGUGCACAGGAGUUACAGAACCACAUCUACUGAGCGUGGUCCAGUGCUGAGAUGCACUGAUUUCUGCAGGCUUAGGUGUUUAUCCAGAAGAUUAUUGUCAAGUCACGCUGAGGAUUUCCUGCUCUGAAAGAGCCAGAUGUGUGGGCCAUAGUAUUUUCUAAUAAAAUGGAUCUUUUUCCAA